rnacentral:rRNA from 1 species
GAUGAACGCUGGCGGCGUGCCUAAUACAUGCAAGUCGAGCGAACGGACGAGAAGCUUGCUUCUCUGAUGUUAGCGGCGGACGGGUGAGUAACACGUGGAUCACCUACCUAUAUGACUGGGAUAAUUUCGGGAAACCGGAGAUAAUAACGGAUAAUAUUUUGAACCGCAUGGUUCAAAAGUGAAAGACGGUCUUGCUGUCAGUUAUAGCUGGAUCCGCGCUGCAUUAGCUAGUUGGUAAGGUAACGGCUUACCAAGGCAACGAUGCAUAGCCGACCUGAGAGGGUGAUCGGCCACACUGGAACUGAGACACGGUCCAGACUCCUACGGGAGGCAGCAGUAGGGAAUCUUCGGCAAUGGGCGAAAGCCUGACGGAGCAACACCGCGUGAGUGAUGAAGGUCUUCGGAUCGUAAAACUCUGUUAUUAGGGAAGAACAGAUGUGUAAGUAACUGUGCACAUCUUGACGGUACCUAAUCAGAAAGCCACGGCUAACUACGUG